rnacentral:pre_miRNA from 1 species
GGGGGGAGGCCAGAUCCUGGGCUGUGUCCCCGCUCCCUGUGCUCCCGGCCUGCGCUGUUGCAUUCGCGCUCCCGCCGCGCAGCCCCCU